rnacentral:rRNA from 1 species
UACAGAGGGUGCGAGCGUUGUCCGGAAUCACUGGGCGUAAAGGGCGCGUAGGUGGCGACCCAAGUCUGUGGUGAAAGCUCGACGCUCAACGUCGAGUCGGCCAUAGAUACUGGGUUGCUUGAGCACUGUAGAGGCAGAUGGAAUUCCGGGUGUAGCGGUGGAAUGCGUAGAGAUCCGGAAGAACACCGGUGGCGAAGGCGGUCUGCUGGGCAGUUGCUGACACUUAGGCGCGACAGCGUGGGGAGCAAACAGG